AAAUUCAUUACAUGCAAAAUCUCUUUCAUGAUCUUCACUAACAGAAUGGUGAUUAAUAACAUGUUGGAAUAAGUCAGAAGUGACUCAGAGUUUUGGAAAAGUGCAAAGCUUUGAAUGCAUUCUUGAGCGUGCAAUACAACCUUGCAUAUCUGCUGCCUCUCAGAACUGGAAUGCACAUAAAGGCACCUACAGUCACUACCAAGAGUAGGAGAAAAAAUCCCAGUGAGAAAUCACCUGAAAUCAGAAAGUCACCAUGGCAAGUAUAAAAUCAACCUCUCUCUGGGAAGGUAGAAGAGGAAGAGAAGAAGAAUGAAAGGAAGUAUUCUAUCUACAGCUGUCAGAAAAAAAUGCACUAAUUCAUUUUACAUCAGCCUUCCAAAGCUGGAGGCAAAAAC